GCGGAUCUCUCUGGGAGAGCUGCCAGGCGGACGCAGGUCCCCCCGCGCUCUGGGGCUCCGCCGUCGCCACACACCGCCGCUUAACCCGCCCUCGGGAGACCCCCGCAGCCCCUCCGCCACUCACCCGGGUUGAAGAGCACCGUCCCCUUGAGGUCCAAAUAAGAUAAAGCCCUUUACUGGUUUUGCAGUAGUGGAGAAUUGUUAUGUUACACUGAGGAAUUGAUGUAUACAGUUGGCAGACAGGUACUCUGUAUCAAUACAGUGAUUUCAGUGCCACCUGUCUCCGAGUACUGCAGUUUUCCAUAUUAGGCAUGUGGUGUUUUCUGUGGCUAUCAAAAGAUUCUCUUCAGUGAGAGUUCAUGUCUGACAGAUUGCAGCAGCUGUAGCACUGCUGGAAGAGACCAGUUUCAUGAAUGUGAUCCAGGCCUGCAUUUUACACACAAACUGCCUUGGUUCUGCUGCACAUAGGAUUGGAUAGAAGGAAAGAAGGCUACAAGACCUUCAGUAGCUACACUGAGCAACAAGUACAAGCUCUUUUAUGUCCCAGAGCUCAGGUGCCAGUAAGGCAUCAAGCCUAUGCAUUGAAGUUUUCUCUCCACAGAAAUCAAGAUGCUGGAGAUGAGGGGAUGAUUGAGGAUUGGUACGUCUUGAUACAUCUUCACCAUGUCUAGGAUUCAGAAUGCAGCUGGAAUAUGUAUCCACGCUAAGGACCUUGAAAACACAUGGCAUCUUAGAACUCAGAUGACAAAGCCUACUGCUUCCUCUGUAUUCUUUGAUGUUACAGCUGAAUUUUCAUUAAAGGUAAUUUAACUGUCUUCUUUGCAUGUUUUGUGUACUUCAGUAUUCAGUCUUUCUUCUGCUCCCUUUCUCUGUCUUCUCAGCACUUCAUUCUUCUUCAGAGGAUUUUUGACUGGGUUUUAUUUUCAGUUUUCUAAAAAAUGUUGAUAUAGUUUGUACAAAACUAUAUAUGCAAAUAUACAUACACUUGUAAAUGUGUAUAGA